rnacentral:rRNA from 1 species
UGUGCCAGCAGCCGCGGUAAUACGUAGGGGGCGAGCGUUGUCCGGAUUUACUGGGCGUAAAGGGUGAGUAGGCGGUUAUAUAUGUCAGGUGUAAAAAGCUAUGGCUUAACCAUAGUAAGCACUUGAAACUGUAUGACUUGAGUGCAGGAGAGGUAAGCGGAAUUCCUAGUGUAGCGGUGAAAUGCGUAGAUAUUAGGAGGAACACCGGUGGCGAAGGCGGCUUACUGGACUGUAACUGACGCUGAGUCACGAAAGCGUGGGUAGCAAACAGGAUUAGAUACCCUGGUAGUCCACGCCGUAAACGAUGAGUGCUAGGUGUUGGGCAGCAAUGCUCGGUGCCGAAGUAAACACAAUAAGCACUCCGCCUGGGGAGUACGUACGCAAGUAUGAAACUCAAAGGAAUUGACGGGGACCCGCACAAGCAGCGGAGCAUGUGGUUUAAUUCGAAGCAACGCGAAGAACCUUACCAAGGCUUGACAUCCCCUUGACAGAUGCAGAGAUGUGUCCUCCUCUUCGGAGGCAAGGGAGACAGGUGGUGCAUGGUUGUCGUCAGCUCGUGUCGUGAGAUGUUGGGUUAAGUCCCGCAACGAGCGCAACCCUUAUCCUUAGUUGCCAGCAUGUAAAGAUGGGCACUCUAAGGAGACUGCCGGUGAUAAACCGGAGGAAGGUGGGGAUGACGUCAAAUCAUCAUGCCCCUUAUGUCUUGGGCUACACACGUGCUACAAUGGUCGGUACAACGGGCAGCGAAGGAGCGAUCCGGAGCGAAUCCCAAUAAACCGAUCCCAGUUCGGAUUGCAGGCUGCAACUCGCCUGCAUGAAGUCGGAGUUGCUAGUAAUCGCGAAUCAGAACGUCGCGGUGAAUGCGUUCCCGGGUCUUGUACACACCGCCCGUCACACCAUGGAAGUUGGUAAUACCCGAAGUCGCUGAGCUAACCUUAAAGGAGGCAGGCGCCGAAGGUAGGAUCAAUGACUGGGGUGAAGUCGUAACAAGGUAACCA